rnacentral:rRNA from 1 species
AUAUCAGUCAUGCAUAGCAUAUCAAUAAGCGGAGGAAAAGAAACUAACAAGGAUUCCCUUAGUAACGGCGAGUGAAGCGGGAAGAGCUCAAAUUUGAAAUCUUCAAGGUUCUACCUUGACGAAUUGUAGUUUAUAGAAGUGUUUUCUGUUAGUGGAGUGGCAAAAGUUCUUUGGAAUAGGACAUCAUAGAGGGUGAGAAUCCCGUAUUUGGUCAUUCCUCCUAGCGUUGUGAUACACUUUCAACGAGUCGGAUUGUUUGGGAAUGCAGUCCAAAAUGGGUGGUAAAUUUCAUCUAAAGCUAAAUAUUGGCGAGAGACCGAUAGCGAACAAGUACCGUGAGGGAAAGAUGAAAAGAACUUUGAAAAGAGAGUUAAACAGUACGUGAAAUUGUCAAAAGGGAAGCGUUUGACACCAGUGUUGUUUUUCCGAAAAUCAAUUACGAAUGUUUUAUUUUUGAGGAGUUAUGACUUCAUCGGCUUGCUUCUCUCUUUAUGAAACUUUCUUAAUGCACUUUUCGGUUAACAAGUCAACAUCAAUUUCUUUUGUUGUAAAAGGGUAUGAGGAAGGUGGCUUUCUCUUCGGCGCAAGUGUUUAUAGCCUUGUACCUCUGCAAUCGGAGAGAUUGAGGUCUGCAGCGUAGAUCCUUCGGGGUUAGAUACAUUUGUGCUAAGUUAUAGCUUUUCAUAGACAACUUGUUGACUAUGUUUAGUCUUGUAGCUUACUCGCUUAUGCUAUUUUACCUACGCUUAGGAUGUUGAUCUCUCACAGUCGAGC